rnacentral:rRNA from 1 species
CCUAGAUGAAUUUGGUGCUUGCACCAGAUGAAACUAGAUACAAGCGAGCGGCGGACGGGUGAGUAACACGUGGGUAACCUGCCCAAGAGACUGGGAUAACACCUGGAAACAGAUGCUAAUACCGGAUAACAACACUAGACGCAUGUCUAGAGUUUAAAAGAUGGUUCUGCUAUCACUCUUGGAUGGACCUGCGGUGCAUUAGCUAGUUGGUAAGGUAACGGCUUACCAAGGCAAUGAUGCAUAGCCGAGUUGAGAGACUGAUCGGCCACAUUGGGACUGAGACACGGCCCAAACUCCUACGGGAGGCAGCAGUAGGGAAUCUUCCACAAUGGACGCAAGUCUGAUGGAGCAACGCCGCGUGAGUGAAGAAGGGUUUCGGCUCGUAAAGCUCUGUUGGUAGUGAAGAAAGAUAGAGGUAGUAACUGGCCUUUAUUUGACGGUAAUUACUUAGAAAGUCACGGCUAACUACGUGCCAGCAGCCGCGGUAAUACGUAGGUGGCAAGCGUUGUCCGGAUUUAUUGGGCGUAAAGCGAGUGCAGGCGGUUCAAUAAGUCUGAUGUGAAAGCCUUCGGCUCAACCGGAGAAUUGCAUCAGAAACUGUUGAACUUGAGUGCAGAAGAGGAGAGUGGAACUCCAUGUGUAGCGGUGGAAUGCGUAGAUAUAUGGAAGAACACCAGUGGCGAAGGCGGCUCUCUGGUCUGCAACU